GAUGAACGCUGGCGGCGUGCUUAACACAUGCAAGUCGAACGGUGAAGGCGGAGCUUUCUCUGCUGGAUCAGUGGCGAACGGGUGAGUAACACGUGAGCAAUCUGCCCCUGACUCUGGGAUAAGCUCUGGAAACUGCGUCUAAUACUGGAUACGAGCUGCUACGGCAUCUUCAGCAGCUGGAAAUUACUUCGGUCAGGGAUGAGCUCGCGGCCUAUCAGCUUGUUGGUGAGGUAACGGCUCACCAAGGCUUCGACGGGUAGCCGGCCUGAGAGGGUGACCGGCCAAAAUGGGAACGAGGAAACGGCCAAGAUCCCUAGGGAAGGAGGAGGGGGGGAAAAUGGAAAAAGGGGGAAAGGCCUGAGGAGGAAAGGCGGGGGGGGGGAGAAGGGCCUCGGGGCGGAAAACUGUUUUAGCAGGGAAGGAAGGAAAGGGAAGGGAAAUGGAGAAAGAGCGACGGCUAAAUAAGUG
rnacentral:rRNA from 1 species